rnacentral:lncRNA from 1 species
GCAUAGCAGAUGUCCUCUUUUCUGAUUCGCACAUCACAACACAUGGCCAUGGCCCCUCAAAGUCCUUGACCAUACCCCAAUAUUCUUUGUCCAUGGCCUACUCACAUAUCAUCGCACACUACAAUGACACUGUUAUCAAGUCACGACCACCAACAGCCAACUCAAAGUCUUCUUCCUUGUGCCCAUGCCAAGGGCCUCGCACUGAGGAAGCCAUCAUCCCGUG